UACAGAGGGUGCAAGCGUUAAUCGGAAUUACUGGGCGUAAAGGGCGCGUAGGUGGGAAUGUAAGUCAGAUGUGAAAGCCCCGGGCUUAACCUGGGAAUUGCAUUUGAAACUGUGUUUCUAGAGUGAAGUAGAGGGUAGUGGAAUUUCCGGUGUAGCGGUGAAAUGCGUAGAUAUCGGAAGGAACACCAGUGGCGAAGGCGGCUACCUGGACUUCAACUGACACUGAGGCGCGAAAGCGUGGGGAGCGAAGAGGAUUAGAUACCCUCGUAGUCCACGCUGUAAACGAUGAGAACUAGCUGUUGGUAGGCUUUAAGCCUGUCGGUAGCGCAGCUAACGCGAUAAGUUCUCCGCCUGGGGAGUACGGCCGCAAGGUUAAA
rnacentral:rRNA from 1 species